UACGAAGGGGGCUAGCGUUGCUCGGAAUCACUGGGCGUAAAGCGCACGUAGGCGGUUUCUUAAGUCAGGGGUGAAAUCCUGGAGCUCAACUCCAGAACUGCCUUUGAUACUGGGAGACUCGAGUCCGGGAGAGGUGAGUGGAACUGCGAGUGUAGAGGUGAAAUUCGUAGAUAUUCGCAAGAACACCAGUGGCGAAGGCGGCUCACUGGCCCGGUACUGACGCUGAGACACGAAGGCCAGGGGAGCAAACGGG
rnacentral:rRNA from 1 species